rnacentral:lncRNA from 1 species
AAAAUAGUCACCGCAGUCACAGUGAUCAACGAAGCUCAGGAAGGGGAUCCCAGUGAGGUGAGCCGAGGCGCUCACAGCGAUGUCAGGCAUGAAGAAAGGGCACCGCGAGAUUAAAGAUAACAGGCAUGUAACGGAUGACCACACAGCAAUACACUCGCAUUCUCAGGGGAAGUGGACAAACUCCUGGAAAAAUAUAACUGGUAACAAUUGCCUCUGCAUGAAAUGGAGAAUUGGAAUGGCUUUAUAACCGUUAAAGAAAUAGAAUCAUGAAGGAAGCUCUGGGCCCCAACAAUUGUAACGGUGAGCUCUCUUACGUGUUCAGGAGACAGACGCAGAUGACCCAAACUUACUCCAACUCUUACAGGAGGGAGGAGGAGAGGCAAUGCUCCCAAACUUAUUCUGUGAGAUUAGUGGAAGCUGGAUCCCCAAACUGUACAAAGACAGCAUGAAAAAAAGACUACAGAUCAGUCCAAUUCAUUAAUAUGGAUUUUAAAAAGCCCUAAGUUAAAUAUUCCAAACAGAAUCUGGCUGUGUUUUUCUUUAAAAAAAAUAAUAUGAGUCUAUUGCAAGAAGUUAUAUUGGAAAAUACGUUAAUAUGAUUUACCCUGUUAGAGAUUUGAAGAGAUAUUCAUCUCAAUAGGCCUAGAAGAAGUAUUAGAUGACAUUCGACAUUUAGUCAUUGUUUAAAAAAAUUAAACCAAUCUCUUAGUAAACUAGAAACAGAAGGUGAUUUCCUUUAUCUGGAUAAGGAAAUCUGCUUAAAAAAACUACAGCAUUAACAUUGUAAAUCAUUGGUGAAACAUUAAAAGCAUUGCUUUUAAAUUCACGAACAAAAUAAAGAUUGCAAUGAAGAUUUUAGCCAGCUCAACAAGGCAAGAAAAAGAAGAGGAAAGGUAAAAGGAUGAAAUAAAACUCUCAUUAUUUGCCAAUGAUAUGAAUACCCACAUGGGAGACUCCAAAUAAGCUUUAUUGCUAGAAUUAUCAAGACAGUUUAGCAAAGUUGCCAAGUAGAAAAUCAAUAUACAAAAGUUAAUUUCAUUUUUUUAUACCAGUAAUAAACAGAAAAAUAUAAUUUCAAAUUUCCAAUGAUAAAAGUAGCAAAAAAGAAAAAAUAUCGAGGAAUAACUCCAAAGAUGUGCAGGUCCUUCGUAUAGAAAAUAAUAUGACUUUUUGAAAGAUAUUAGAGAAGCUCUAAAUAAAUAGAAGACAUAUUUGUGGGAAAGGAAGAUCAAUUUUGUAAAUAUGUACAUUUUCUCCAUCUUGAUUUAUAGAAUUAAG